rnacentral:rRNA from 1 species
AGUAAUGUCUGGGAAACUGCCUGAUGGAGGGGGAUAACUACUGGAAACGGUAGCUAAUACCGCAUAACGUCGCAAGACCAAAUGGGGGACCUUCGGGCCUCAUGCCAUCAGAUGUGCCCAGAUGGGAUUAGCUAGUAGGUGGGGUAACGGCUCACCUAGGCGACGAUCCCUAGCUGGUCUGAGAGGAUGACCAGCCACAUUGGAACUGAGACACGGUCCAG